UACGAAGGGAGUUAGCGUUGUUCGGAAUCACUGGGCGUAAAGCGCACGUAGGCGGAUGUGUCAGUCAGGGGUGAAAUCCCGGAGCUCAACUUCGGAACUGCCCUUGAUACAGCACGUCUUGAGUCCGGAAGAGGUGGGUGGAAUUCCUAGUGUAGAGGUGAAAUUCGUAGAUAUUAGGAAGAACACCGGUGGCGAAGGCGGCCCACUGGUCCGGUACUGACGCUGAGGUGCGAAAGCGUGGGGAGCAAACAGG
rnacentral:rRNA from 1 species